rnacentral:rRNA from 2 species
UAGAGAGAAAGACUCUACUAGGUGGAUAGCUUGGCUCAAGACGGCGAUGAAGGACGUGACAAGCUACGAAAUGUCCUGGCGACCCGCACGUAGGGGCUGAACCAGGAAUGUCUGAAUGCGACUUCGUCAUAGAAGCUGAAAAGCUAGUUAGACGCAGGGAAUUGAAACGUCUUAGUACCUGCAGGAAGAGAAACUAAACCAAGGAUGCUGUUAUUAGCAGAGAGCGAAAGCAGCACAGGGCAAUCUGAACCGCUCAUUGAAAAAUGAGUAGGGAUGUGGAUUUAUAAGACUGUCUUUUAACCCCUAAUCAGACCAUCUUAAGUCCUCUGGAACGAGGCACGAUACAGGGUGAUAGUCCCGUAAGAAAACUUUGAUGGGUGUGACAGUAUCUUGAGUAGCAUCUACUUGAUUCUAGGUGUGAAUUUGGGAGGCAUCAACUCCUAACCCUAAAUACGUUCUUGAGUCCGAUAGCGCACUAGUACCGUGAGGGAAAGCUGAAAAGAACUCUUGACAGAGAGUUAAAUAGAACUUGAAACCUAGUAGAUAUAGAGUGAUACGCAGUUACGGCUGUGUAUCGUCCGUUUUGAAUAACGGGCCAGGGAGUUUGUCCGAGUGGCAAGGAUAACCAGUAUUCACUGGGCAUCCAUAGCGAAAGCAACAGCCCGCAGCUUGCAAGGGGCGAGGUGUGAAAGUGCCUUAAGUCACUCGGGCCAGACCCGAAGCCGAGCGAUCUACGCCUGGGUAAGGUGAAGCCCUCCUAAAGGGGGGUGGAGGCCUGCAGAGGUGCUACGGACAAGUGUUCUCGUAACCUGGGUGUAGGGGUGAAAAGCCAAUCGAGCUCGGCGAUAGCUGGUUCCUGUCGAAGUUGGCCGUAGUCAAGUCUUGAGCGAGGUUGUUUAGGAGGUAGAGCUACGGAUUAAAGAUUUAGGGCCCGAAAGGGCUCGGUUUUUUGUCCAACUCCGAAUACUUAAACACUGUAGACCUCAGGAAACGGCGGCUCGUCGUAAGGGUGAGUCGCGAGAGGGGAACAACCCAGACAGUGGUUAAGGUCCCUAAGUAUUGAUUAAGUGUUAAAGGGUGAAGGUUGUUUAUAACCAAAAACAGCGAGGAGGUUGGCUUAGAAGCAGCCAUCCUUUAAAAAGUGCGUAACAGCUUACUCGUCGAGGUUAUAAGCGCCUAAAAUGGACGGGGCUAAAUCAAUCACCGAUACCACUGGCAUCCGAAAGGAUUGCGGUAGGCAGGCGUUCUGUUAGGGUAGAAGCUUCUUCUCAAGGAGAGGUGGACCUUUCAGAAAUGCGAAUCCUGGUAAUAGUAAGAUCUUAGCACUGUGAGAAUCAGUGCCACCGAAAGGGCAAGGGUUCCUUGGCAAUGCAGUUCAGCCAAGGGUAAGUUAGUCCUAACUUAACUCAUAACUUGAGUCAUCGAGGAAAGGGAAACAGGUUAAUAUUCCUGUACCAUAAGGGUAUGCGCGGUAACGCAAGCUUUGUUUCUGACGCUUCUGGUUAGGCUGACAAUCCUCGUCGGGAUUGUUAAUAAAAACAUGUCAGGGGAGUACUGUAAUGGUGAGAACCUGAUUAAUUUUUAGAACAGCGGUGCUUAAGCAUCGUUCAGCUGAUAUCUGGAGCCCGUGAAAAGGGAACAAAGAAAAAUCCUUUAUGUCUAUACCCAGCACCGGCACAGGUGCCCCUGGGUGAGAAGCCUAAGGUGUGAAGGGAUAAUCUGGUUGAGGGAAUUCGGCAAAUUAGCCCUGAGUCUUCGGUAUAAGGGGUCCCUACUUUUGUAUUCGUAUGAGUGCGAUUGUAGGGCACAGUGACUAAGGAGGUCCGACUGUUUAACAAAAACUUAACUGAGUGCUAACCCGUAAGGGCUUGAAUACUCAGUGACGUCUGCCCAGUGCCUGUAUCUGAAACUCCUUUUCAAGGGAGCGAAGGACAGGUAAACGGCGGGAGUAACUAUAACUCUCUUAAGGUAGCGAAAUGCCUUGCCGUUUGAUUGACGGCCUGCAUGAAUGGCGUAACGAGAUCUCCACUGUCCCCAACCAGAGCCCUCUGAACAUUUCAUUCUGGUGCAAAGACCAGAGACUUCCAGUGGGAAGCAAAGACCCCGUGAAACUUUACUGUAGCCUGUUGCUGCAACGUGAGGUUGGAUGUAUAGAGUAAGUAGGAGUUGUUUGAGGCUUGCACGCUAGUGUAAGUUUAGACGUCAAUGUAACACUACUCAUCUGAUUUUGCGCUGCUUACCUGUUCCAAGCGGACAGGGACACCAGUAGGUGGACAGUUUGGCUGGGGUGGCACACUGCUGAAAAGAUAUCAGCAGUGCCCUAUGGUUGACUCAAUCGGGUCAGAAAUCCGAUGUUGAGUGUAAGGGCAAAAGUCAGCCUGACUGGGAUUUGAAUACGAAGAAUUCCAGAAACGAAAGUUAGGCCUAGCGAACUGCUACAUCUCCUUGAAUGGGGGGUAGUACUGACCGAAAAGUUACUCCGGGGAUAACAGAGUUGUCGCGCCCGAGAGCUCCUAUCGACGGCGCGGUUUGCUACAUCGAUGUCGGCUCUUCCUAUCCUGGCCGUGCAGAACAGAUUUUUACGAAAAAUCUGGUAAAAAGUAAUUAAGGAGGAUAUUCACUUCGUGAAAUCCUCCGAAUUGCCAAAACGUAGAAAUCUAUGUAUGCGGCCAAGGGUGAGGGUGUUCACCUAUCAAAAGGGAUCGUGAGCUGGGUUCAGAACGUUGCGAGACAGUUUGUUUGAUAUCUACUGGAAGUGUUGAGUGUCUGAAGGGAAGGACCAUCUAGUACGAGAGGAACGAUGGUUCGAAGCCACUGGUCGACCGGUUAUCUGACAAGGUAGGCCGGGCAGCUACGCUUUAUAUGGAUAAGUGCUGAAAGCAUCUAAGCACGAAGCCAUCCUUGAAAAGAGACGCUCAUGGACGCCCAUAGAAGAUGGGGUUGAUAGAGCUGGUGUGUAAGUACCAAGGCAACGAGGUAUUCAGCAUGCAGCUACUAAUAAGUCCAACUCUCUUUUAA